rnacentral:rRNA from 1 species
AUGAACGCUGGCGGCGUGCCUAAUACAUGCAAGUCGAGCGAACGGACGAGAAGCUUGCUUUUCUGAUGUUAGCGGCGGACGGGUGAGUAACACGUGGAUAACCUACCUAUAAGACUGGGAUAACUUCGGGAAACCGGAGCUAAUACCGGAUAAUAUUUUGAACCGCAUGGUUCAAAAGUGAAAGACGGUCUUGCUGUCACUUAUAGAUGGAUCCGCGCUGCAUUAGCUAGUUGGUAAGGUAACGGCUUACCAAGGCAACGAUGCAUAGCCGACCUGAGAGGGUGAUCGUCCACACUGGAACUGAGACACGGUCCAGACUCCUACGGGAGGCAGCAGUAGGGAAUCUUCCGCAAUGGGCGAAAGCCUGACGGAGCAACGCCGCGUGAGUGAUGAAGGUCUUCGGAUCGUAAAACUCUGUUAUUAGGGAAGAACAUAUGUGUAAGUAACUGUGCACAUCUUGACGGUACCUAAUCAGAAAGCCACGGCUAACUACGUG